rnacentral:rRNA from 1 species
AAUGAACGUUGGCGGCGUGGAUUAGGCAUGCAAGUCGAACGAGAACCCCGCAAGGGUGAAAGUGGCAAACGGCGUAGUAAGGCGUAGGUGACGUACCUCCCGAUUCAGGAUAGCUACGGGAAACUGUAGGUAAUACUGGAUAACCCCUCCGAGAUUGAAAAUCGGAGUGCAAAGGUGUGAUUCCGUCAGGAGAGCGGCUUACGUGGUAUUAGCUAGUUGGUGAGGUAAUGGCUCACCAAGGCUUCGAUGCCUAGGGGGUGUUAGCGCAUGACCCCCACGACUGGGACUGAGAUACUGCCCAGACACCUACGGGUGGCUGCAGUCGAGAAUCUUCGGCAAUGGGCGCAAGCCUGACCGAGCGACGCCGCGUGUGGGAUGAAGGCCCUUGGGGUUGUAAACCACUGUCAGAGGGGAUGAAAUGCGGGUGGGUUCUCCCAUCCGUUUGACAUAGCCUCAGAGGAAGCACGGGCUAAGUUCGUGCCAGCAGCCGCGGUAAU